rnacentral:rRNA from 1 species
AUUGAACGCUGGCGGCAGGCCUAACACAUGCAAGUCGAACGAGUGGCGGACGGGUGAGUAAUGUCUGGGAAACUGCCCGAUGGAUGAGGAUAACUACUGGAAACGGUAGCUAAUACCGCAUACCAUCGGAUGUGCCCAGAUGGGAUUAGCUAGUAGGUGGGGUAACUGCUCACCUAGGCGACGAUCCCUAGCUGGUCUGAGAGGAUGACAAGAAAGACUGGAACUGCGACACUGUCAAGACUCCUACGGGAGGCAGCAGUGGGGAAUAUUGAACAAUGGGCGCAAGUCGGAUGCAGCCAUGCGGGGUGUAUGAAGAAGGCCUUCGGGUUGUAAAGUACUUUCAGCGAGGAGGAGUUACUCGCAGAAGAAGCACCGGCUAAGUCCGUGCCAGCAGCCGCGGUAAUAC